rnacentral:ncRNA from 1 species
GUGUAUGGAGCGUCAAUAUUCUAGUAUGAGAAAUUAAUGAUUUAAGUCCUUCUUAAAUGAGGCCAUUUACCCAUAGAGGGUGCCAGGCCCGUAUAACGUUAAUGAUUGCUAGAUGAUGUUUCCAAAGAGUCGUGUUGCUUGAUAGUGCAGCACUAAGUGGGUGGUAAACUCCAUCUAAAACUAAAUAUAACCAUGAGACCGAUAGUAAACAAGUACCGUGAGGGAAAGUUGAAAAGAACUCUGAAUAGAGAGUUAAACAGUACGUGAAACUGCUUAGAGGUUAAGCCCGAUGAACCUGAAUAUCCGUUAUGGAAAAUUCAUCAUUAAAAUUGUAAUAUUUAAAUAAUAUUAUUAAGAAUAAUGUGCAUUUUUUCCAUAUAAGGACAUUGUAAUCUAUUAGCAUAUCCCAAAUUUAUCAUAAAAUAUAACUUAUAGUUUAUUCCAAUUAAAUUGCUUGCAUUUUAACACAGAAUAAAUGUUAUUAAUUUGAUAAAGUGCUGAUAGAUUUAUAUUAUUACAGAGCGUUAAUUUUUCGGAAUUAUAUAAUGGCAUAAUUAUCAUUGAUUUUUGUGUUUAUUAUAUGCUCUUGUAUGAUUAACAAUGCGAAAGAUUCAGGAUACCUUCGGGACCCGUCUUGAAACACGGACCAAGGAGUCUAACAUAUGUGCAAGUUAUUGGGAUGUAAACCUAAUAGCGUAAUUAACUUGACUAAUAAUGGGAUUAGUUUUUUAGCUAUUUAUAGCUAAUUAACACAAUCCCGGGGCGUUCUAUAUAGUUAUGUAUAAUGUAUAUUUAUAUUAUUUAUGCCUCUAACUGGAACGUACCUUGAGCAUAUAUGCUGUGACCCGAAAGAUGGUGAACUAUACUUGAUCAGGUUGAAGUCAGGGGAAACCCUGAUGGAAGACCGAAACAGUUCUGACGUGCAAAUCGAUUGUCAGAAUUGAGUAUAGGGGCGAAAGACCAAUCGAACCAUCUAGUAGCUGGUUCCUUCCGAAGUUUCCCUCAGGAUAGCUGGUGCAUUUUAUAUUAUAUAAAAUAAUCUUAUCUGGUAAAGCGAAUGAUAGAGGCCUUAGGGUCGAAACGAUCUUAACCUAUUCUCAAACUUU